UACGUAGGGUGCGAGCGUUGUCCGGAAUUACUGGGCGUAAAGAGCUCGUAGGUGGUUUGUCGCGUUGUCCGUGAAAACUCACAACUCAAUUGUGGGCGUGCGGGCGAUACGGGCAGACUGGAGUACUGCAGGGGGAGACCGGAAUUCCUGGUGUAGCGGUGGAAUGCGCAGAUAUCAGGAGGAACACCGGUGGCGAAGGCGGGUCUCUGGGCAGUAACUGACGCUGAGGAGCGAAAGCGUGGGGAGCGAACAGG
rnacentral:rRNA from 1 species